AUGAUUCCAGCCAUCCUCCUUGUAUCCCAAGGAAGACGAACUUGGGUGCAGGUGCUCUGCACACAGCAGCAGACAACCCUGCUCCAGCUGCAGAGCUGUACCGGUACCGCAUGUGGCUGUAGGAGUUGGGCAGAUGUGGGAAGCUGCACGCUGAAGGAAGUCACCUGUCACUCUGCCAUCCUGUGGGAGAGGUUCUGCUUGCUGGAUUCAUCACUCAUGGAACUCCGUCGUCCUUUUAACUUGCAUCUUCCUGAAGGUGGUCUUGACAACUUAUGUAAACAAUUUCGGUCUUAUCAAGUGACCCAGGGUGAAACUGAAGCAGAGGCAAGGACUAGCUGGUUGAUUUUUAAUGGAGUGGAACUGGUUGAGACUCAAUAUGUUGUCUUCAUGCUUGGCAAGAUGGCACUUAAAUAAUCCUGACUCUCAAAAGUCUGAGGCAGGAAAGUUGAAAGUUCAAGGUCAACCUGGUCUACAGAGUAAGUUCCAAGACAGCUUGGGGUCCAUAGUGAGACCCUGACUCAAAGGAAAAAUGAGAAAGGGGGUAAGGGAAGGGAA
rnacentral:lncRNA from 1 species